rnacentral:rRNA from 1 species
UACGAAGGGGGCUAGCGUUGCUCGGAAUCACUGGGCGUAAAGCGCACGUAGGCGGAUCUUUAAGUCAGGGGUGAAAUCCCAAGGCUCAACCUUGGAACUGCCUUUGAUACUGGGGAUCUCGAGUCCGGAAGAGGUUGGUGGAACUGCGAGUGUAGAGGUGAGAUUCGUAGAUAUUCGCAAGAACACCAGUGGCGAAGGCGGCCAACUGGUCCGGUACUGACGCUGAGGUGCGAAAGCGUGGGGAGCAAACAGG